AGUGAACGCUGGCGGUAGGCCUAACACAUGCGAGUCGAACGGCAGCACAGAGGAGCUUGCUCCUUGGGUGGCGAGUGGCGGACGGGUGAGGAAUACAUCGGAAUCCACUCUGUCGUGGGGGAUAACGUAGGGAAACUUACGCUAAUACCGCAUACGACCUACGGGUGAAAGCAGGGGACCUUCGGGCCUUGCGCGAUUGAAUGAGCCGAUGUCGGAUUAGCUAGUUGGCGGGGUAAAGGCCCACCAAGGCGACGAUCCGUAGCUGGUCUGAGAGGAUGAUCAGCCACACUGGAACUGAGACACGGUCCAGACUCCUACGGGAGGCAGCAGUGGGGAAUAUUGGACAAUGGGCGCAAGCCUGAUCCAGCCAUACCGCGUGGGUGAAGAAGGCCUUCGGGUUGUAAAGCCCUUUUGUUGGGAAAGAAAUCCAGCUGGCUAAUACCCGGUUGGGAUGACGGUACCCAAAGAAUAAGCACCGGCUAACUUCGUGCCAGCCGCCGCGGUAA
rnacentral:rRNA from 1 species